UACAGAGGGUGCAAGCGUUGUUCGGAAUUAUUGGGCGUAAAGGGCGCGUAGGCGGUUCGGUAAGUCUGUUGUGAAAUCUCUGGGCUCAACUCAGAGUCUGCUAUAGAAACUGCCGUGCUUGAGUGUGGGAGAGGUGAGUGGAACUCCCGGUGUAGCGGUGAAAUGCGUAGAUAUCGGGAGGAACACCUGUGGCGAAAGCGGCUCACUGGACCACAACUGACGCUGAGGCGCGAAAGCUAGGGGAGCAAACAGG
rnacentral:rRNA from 1 species